AUUGAACGCUGGCGGCAGGCUUAACACAUGCAAGUCGAGCGGAUGAGUGGAGCUUGCUCCAUGAUUCAGCGGCGGACGGGUGAGUAAUGCCUAGGAAUCUGCCUGGUAGUGGGGGACAACGUUUCGACAGGAACGCUAAUACCGCAUACGUCCUACGGGAGAAAGCAGGGGACCUUCGGGCCUUGCGCUAUCCGAUGAGCCUAGGUCGGAUUAGCUAGUAGGUGGGAUAAUGGCCCACCUAGGCGACGAUCCGUAACUGGUCUGAGAGGAUGAUCAGUCACACUGGAACUGAGACACGGCCCAGACUCCUACGGGAGGCAGCAGUGGGGAAUAUUGGACAAUGGGCGAAAGCCUGAUCCAGCCAUGCCGCGUGUGUGAAGAAGGUCUUCGGAUUGUAAAGCACUUUAAGUUGGGAGGAAGGGCAGUAAGUUAAUACCUUUGCUCAUUGACGUUACCCGCAGAAGAAGCACCGGCUAACUCCGUGCCAGCCGCCGCAGUAA
rnacentral:rRNA from 1 species